rnacentral:rRNA from 1 species
GAUGAACGCUGACAGAAUGCUUAACACAUGCAAGUCAGCUUGAACUUCGGUUUGGGUGGCGGACGGGUGAGUAACGCGUAAAGAACUUGCCUCACAGAUAGGGACAACAUUUGGAAACGAAUGCUAAUACCUGAUAUUAUGAUUUUAGGGCAUCCUAGAAUUAUGAAAGCUAUAUGCGCUGUGAGAGAGCUUUGCGUCCCAUUAGCUAGUUGGAGAGGUAACGGCUCACCAAGGCGAUGAUGGGUAGCCGGCCUGAGAGGGUGAUCGGCCACAAGGGGACUGAGACACGGCCCUUACUCCUACGGGAGGCAGCAGUGGGGAAUAUUGGACAAUGGACCAAGAGUCUGAUCCAGCAAUUCUGUGUGCACGAUGAAGUUUUUCGGAAUGUAAAGUGCUUUCAGUUGGGAAGAAAAAAAUGACGGUACCAACAGAAGAAGUGACGGCUAAAUACGUGCCAGCAGCCGCGGUAAUACGUAUGUCACAAGCGUUAUCCGGAUUUAUUGGGCGUAAAGCGCGUCUAGGUGGUUAUGUAAGUCUGAUGUGAAAAUGCAGGGCUCAACUCUGUAUUGCGUUGGAAACUGUGUAACUAGAGUACUGGAGAGGUAAGCGGAACUACAAGUGUAGAGGUGAAAUUCGUAGAUAUUUGUAGGAAUGCCGGUGGGGAAGCCAGCUUACUGGACAGAUACUGACGCUGAAGCGCGAAAGCGUGGGUAGCAAACAGG